GGAAUUUUGGACAAUGGGCGCAAGCCUGAUCCAGCAAUGCCGCGUGAGUGAAGAAGGCCUUCGGGUUGUAAAGCUCUUUUGUCAGGGAAGAAACGGUGGAGGCUAAUAUCCUCUGCUAAUGACGGUACCUGAAGAAUAAGCACCGGCUAACUACGUGCCAGCAGCCGCGGUAAUACGUAGGGUGCAAGCGUUAAUCGGAAUUACUGGGCGUAAAGCGUGCGCAGGCGGUUUUGUAAGUCUGAUGUGAAAUCCCCGGGCUCAACCUGGGAAUUGCAUUGGAGACUGCAAGGCUAGAAUCUGGCAGAGGGGGGUAGAAUUCCACGUGUAGCAGUGAAAUGCGUAGAUAUGUGGAGGAACACCGAUGGCGAAGGCAGCCCCCUGGGUCAAGAUUGACGCUCAUGCACGAAAGCGUGGGGAGCAAACAGGAUUAGAUACCCCGG
rnacentral:rRNA from 1 species